GUCCAUGCCGUAAACGAUGUCUACUAGCCGUUGGGCCUUUGAGGCUUUAGUGGCGCAGCUAACGCGAUAAGUAGACCGCCUGGGGAGUACGGUCGCAAGACUAAACUCAAAUGAAUUGACGGGGCCCGCACAAGCGGUGGAGCAUGUGGUUUAAUUCGAAGCAACGCGAAGAACCUUACCAGGCCUUGACAUGCAGAGAACUUUCCAGAGAUGGAUUGGUGCCUUCGGGAACUUACAUACAGGUGCUGCAUGGCUGUCGU
rnacentral:rRNA from 1 species